GUAUAAUAUUUGAAACUGAAUUACACAUAACCAUUAAAUAGAAAUUUCAUGGUAAAAAUAACCUAACUAAUAUGGAAUGUUUUAUCAUGUUUUUAAUUUAUUUAAAUUGAGUAUACUUUAUAGCUGUUGUGUAGUAAUCAUCCACUGGUCUCAGCUACUGAGAAGGAUAAAAUUUUCUAGUCAUUCAUCUUUUAUUUACCAUAGUUUUUAGGAUAAAAGGCAUUAAAAGUGAGUUUAAAUAUCUUCCAUUUUUGUUCAUUAAAUUCAGUGGUUAGGGAAUGUGUAGAGAAAAAUUAGAGAAAUAAAUUUCAACCUGUAUUCUUUCUUUUUUUGUCUUAGAAGGAAAUAACUUGCACAAGUGAAAAUUAUAUUGGAGGUGAUAGUUUUACUAAUUUAUAUAUAUAUAUGUGUAUAUAUAUACACAUAUAUAUAUAUAAAUGGUAGCAUAUUAACAUCUGAUAGGAACAAAAUCUGUGUCUUAGAUCUCAGUUUGAUUCUGAUGCUUUCUUUGUCUUUUCAGACUGUGUUUAUUGUCUUUUAGCAAUUUUUUGUUGAUACAAUAUGGUGGCAAGGUGCUGGGAAUGGAGGAGGAAGUAUUCUAUAAUCUUGUGCUUUAAUCUUAGUUCUUUUUGGUGAGCUUGUUUUUAAGUAAUAUUUUCAUGUAAGGAUACAAUGAAUUGAAAUAAAAAAUGAUUGAUUUUGUUAAAACUCAAAUUGAUUUUGUUUGGAACUUAAAGUAUAUUAAAAACUUCCAAUUAAAAAGAAAAAUGCAGUGCUCAGCUGAUCACUAGGCAAAUGUAACAAAAUGUUUCCCAGACUUGUGGAGUUUGAAUCAGGAGGUCUAGAGCCUUGCAUUUUUAUUUCACAAUCUGUGUGGAAAUUACUAGGUUAAACUGUUUUCAGGGAAAAAAAUUACCAAAUCUGUACUACUACAAUGUUAGGUAUAUUUGCAAGCCUUCAUUGUACAACCAUACAGCAACUGCAGCUGUACAGUUCUGAGAAAGGAUGUCAUACUCCACAUUUGAGAAUAUUAUUUUGAAAUAAUGACUUUCUGGCCUUGGAAAUUCUUGAGAGAGAUUAUGCGUGCUAUGGGAGAAGUUCUUUUGUUUUAUUGAAACCAAGACAUGUUGAACAUUGUAACCUAAAAUAUUAUCAGCUGAGUACCAUGGUUAUUUAUACAUUUCUCCUGGUUUACGACAGCUUAGCUCUUCACACAUUCCCUUGUAGCUCUGGUCAUCUCUGUUUACAGAGCUGAAGAAUUUUACUCUAACUGCAUAACUCAAAGAAAUUCUAGAGUGAUUUCUCUAUGAGAAAUCUGUAAAAUAUGCCUUUGUCAUGAAUAUAAGUGGUUUUCAAGAACUAUGAAAAGUUACAAUCUUCUCAGUUUCUAAAUUUAAUCUGUAAUUUGCUUGAAAGUUCACUCAAAGAUUCUUAAGAGUUCUGCUUUUCCUGAAGUGGAUACUAUACCUUUAAAUAAAAAGAAAGGUGCUCUUAAUGAUUGGUUAUUCUGUAAAUAAUUUUUAAAAAUUUUUGUUUCAGUUGAUUUGUUCUGUUGACUUUAGACUGGAAUUAUUAAAAAUAUAUGUUUGAACAGAACUUUUGCUUAUUUGCCUAAACGAAUCCUGUAAUAUUCUUUUUGAGUUUCACAUUUUAACUAUUACAAGGCAGUGUGAAUCUUUGCCCUUGCACUAGAAACUGUUUCUUACAUUAUUGAGUUGAUAGUUUUUUCUCUGCAGUCACAAGCUUUGUGGAAAAAGGCCAAGAGUCCCUAUUUUAGGUCUGAGGAAACUCUGCCAUUAUAGAUCCAGUUGAGGUUACCAGAAUAGUAAUAUUGUUAUAAGAUUCAUUCCUAGUAGAAUACUGAUCUUGCUCUUUGGUUAUAAAAAUUUUUAUUCAAAACAAUUUUAAAUACCUGUGAGUUAAUUGCUAUAUUAUUGGGUAGUACGAAAGGCCUCGUCUUAGAAUUUUAAUAUUGCCUAGAAUUUACAGUAUGUAUGACUUAUAUAACCAUUGAAAAUGUAGGUCAUAACUGUAUACCUUUCCUUUUGUAUUAGUUUGAUUAUUUUACUUCAGUCACUGUACAGAUAUGAAAGUCUGUAAGUCAGUUAAGCAUUCUUACAGAAUCUUAAAAAUACUUUAUAAACUGUUACAAUUUUUGUUAGGUCUAUCAUUAGUACUUUAAUAUAUACAUUUAAUCCUUGUUACAUACAGAUUGUACAUUUGUGAAUUCACCUACUUGCUGAAAUUUAUUUGUGACCUCAAAAUAUACUCAGUGUUGGGGCGCCUGGGUGGCUCAGUCAGUUGGGCGGCCGACUUCAGCUCAGGUCACGAUCUCGCGGUCCGUGAGUUCGAGCCCCGCGUCAGGCUCUGGGCUGAUGGCUCAGAGCCUGGAGCCUGCUUCCGAUUCUGUGUCUCCCUCUCUCUCUGCCCCUCCCCCGUUCAUGCUCUGUCUCUCUCUGUCUCAAAAAUAAAUUAAAAUGUUAAAAAAAAAUUAAAAAAAAAUAUACUCAGUGUUUUAAUGAUCACUUGUAACAUGUGCAGAACAGUGAAAAAAAUAGAGUAGUCCGAUACAUUCCUAGAUGAGGUUGAACAAGGCAUUACUCUGCCUUCUUGUUUCAGCUCUCAAUCUAUAAACAAGUAUCCUUUUUGCAUCUAUUUAAAGGCACUUUUUUUUUUUCAUUUUGUGCUUUUUGUUAGUGAUUUUGCUAUUAAAAAUCACCCUCGGGGUUCCUGGGUGGCUCAGUCGGUUAAGCUUCCAACUUUGGCUCAGGUCAUGAUCUCACUGUUUGUGGGUUUGAGCCCCACGUCAGGCUCUGUGCUGACAGCUCAGAGCUUGGAGCCUGCUUUGGAUUCUGUGUCUCCCUCUCUAACUGCCCCUCUCCUGCUCACAUUCUAUCUCUUAAAAAUAAACGUAAAAAAAAAAAAAAAAAAUCACCCUCGAGUGUACUGCUGAAAUGCUA